UAUUUUACUCUAUACCCCAUACAUUUUCUUAUAAAAGUGAGAGUCACUUGAUUUCACGUUAGAACGGCAUUUGAAACAGUAAAAGAAUACCGAAAUCAAAAUGAUGGCAUACUUGCUUUAUGUGGUUUUUUCUUCUUAUCUUACAGUAUCUUCGUGGUGAAUGGAGAAUGUGAUUUAUUAGAUCCGUGUCCAAAGGGAAUGGCCUGUGUUUCAGUAGAUGGUGGUACACGUUGUAAAAAACAUGCUCAGCUAGGGAAUGUGUGCAGUCCAACUGGUUUGCUUGGCGACAGGUUCGCAGUUUAUCAGAACUAUCCAUCUUGUGAACCAAAAACUCUUAAGUGCGUCCAAGAGAAUGGGCGAGUGAGUAAUACAAUUCUUCUUAAAUCUC